rnacentral:rRNA from 1 species
GAGGAAUAUUGGUCAAUGGGCGAGAGCCUGAACCAGCCAAGUGGCGUGCAGGAUGACGGCCCUAUGGGUUGUAAACUGCUUUUAUAAGGGAAUAAAGUGAGUCUCGUGAGGCUUUUUGCAUGUACCUUAUGAAUAAGGACCGGCUAAUUCCGUGCCAGCAGCCGCGGUAAUACGGAAGGUCCGGGCGUUAUCCGGAUUUAUUGGGUUUAAAGGGAGCGUAGGCCGGAGAUUAAGCGUGUUGUGAAAUGUAGAUGCUCAACAUCUGCACUGCAGCGCGAACUGGUUUCCUUGAGUACGCACAAAGUGGGCGGAAUUCGUGGUGUAGCGGUGAAAUGCUUAGAUAUCACGAAGAACUCCGAUUGCGAAGGCAGCUCACUGGAGCGCAACUGACGCUGAAGCUCGAAAGUGCGGGUAUCGAAC